GCGUAUCCACAGCUGAAAGCGAAAAUUAGCGAAAACAUGGUGUGCGCCUGGGUGUGACGGCUCGGCGGCGGCAACAGCCAAAAGAAGAACCACGAAACCAUCGUGAAAGCAAAGUGGUAACGGUUAUAACUCCAAGAUUAUAACAUAUCAUAUCAUUAACGCGUGGCGCGAUGUUAUGCGUUCGUUGACCGGUGGUGUUAGAAGCUGUCGUUUCCUACCAUGGACGAGCCUGCGGACGAGUCUUUACCAACUCCUAAGCAAACCUGGCGAAAGGUGCUGUACGAGGACCAGAAUGUGCCAGACAAUUACGUCGAUCAAUCGUUCUUGUGUCAGCUUCGCAAAAACGUAAACCCAGUGCAGUUCACCGUGCCCCAAGCGCUCUAUGCUGCCACAGGAGUGACUCAACAAAUCUGCAGGGCGGUUCUGUUCGUGGUGCUGUACGCAUGGCUCAAGGAGGGCAGUCUCUCUCCCAUUACCCUGCUGGCCAGCAUAGUACUGCUGUGCUGCCCGGCGUACCUGCUCUAUGUGGUUGUGGAACAGAGACAUCUAGGCAAGAUGCUUGCGGACUUGCGGAGAGCUGCUAUCUUCGUUGCCUUUGGGUUUUCCCUGGCCCCGAUCUUGAAGACGCUGACAGAAACCAUCAGCACGGACACCGUGUAUGCCAUGGCGGCCGGCAUGCUUCUGCUUCACCUGGUCACCCACGACUACUCUGAAGAUGCCAACCCUCUCUCAUGGCCCACAGGUCAGAGCAGAAUAACACUGAGGAUCUCUCGCCUGACGAUGGCAGCAAUGCCUGGAGCACAGUGUCCCUCAAUGGUGCCCUCUUUGCUGCUGUGUGCCUGGCAUCGCGCCUGCCUGGGAUUGGCCCGGUGUUUGCACUGUCCACACUGGCUGUGGCGCUGUUCCUUCUGGCCCCGCUGCUCUGCUCGUGGAUCCAGGGCCGCUGGCACAGGGUGCAGGUCGCGCUGACUGUCGGUCACGUGGGUGUGGCUCUAGCAGGGUGUGGACAUCCUGUCCUGCUGGUCGUCUUGGCUUGCGUGGGGCUGCUGCUACCCUGCCACUUUGUGCACUGCCACCGGCUGAGGCAGAACAUUCAUGGACCCUGGGAUGAGGCGGUCAUUGAAGACCGGUGACGGAGACACAAGAAGGACCGCCGAGGUUCGACCGGAAUCGCGGGCCAUGUCCUCGUACCUGCAGUUGUGAAACAACUAAGAGCUCCUGUCAUCUCGUAAUGCAACAAUUGUGUGACAAGCUGUGGACGGAGGAAUGUUUGCAAUGCUCGGGGGGCUGAUUCUGGCAAGUGGUUGCAGUCAUGUGUGGACUUGAGCUAGUCAGUAACGCAUUAAAAAAGAAAAUGUCGAUAAAAGAAGGCACCAAAGAAAAGACGUGAGAGCCAUGGGAUUACAUUUGUCUGUCUUUGACUGAAAAAUGUCUUUCAUCUACCUUCUGUGUUUUGCUGAUAAAGGUUCCAGAAUUCUUUUAAAAUAAAUAAAUUGAUGCCUAACUGUUGUUCCAACCUCCAUGACUGCCUCAAGCUCUUUUUCCCACAAAGAGCCAUGAUUAAUACCAAACCUCAAAAUUUCCAAUUUGAAACUUUACCAGGCACUCGCUUCAUCACACAUCCUGACGACAUUUGGACUAAACCGUUUAAGUCCAGUAGCUGGGGUGCAUGCCUGCAGCAUGGUUCCAUUUAGAGAGGGACCAUCAAACUCGGCAAACGGGACCUCCUGGUAUAGACAUUUGCAACCAUGGCGCCCUAUUUCGCAAGCUUGAAAUUGCACGGGCUUUCCCGCACAAGCAGAGACAUGACGGCAGCCAGUUGCCUUGCUUGCAAUCUAUAGGGUGUGGCAAUGUAUGGUCGUGUGUUACUUCUUAUUAUGUUAACUCAUUUGUUCAUGUUAGCGUAUAUUAAAUAUCAUGACCUCCUUUUCUGAAA